CUCUCCUUUUCAUGGGCAUGGAAUAUGUUUCCCAUGACCACUGACUGUGGAUUUGGCAACAUGUCUGGUUUUGGCCAACGGAGAUCGAGCAAAUAUGAGGUGCUGGGGAUUAAAUCCAGAGCCUCCUUUGAGCUAAGUGCAUUCUUUACAGCUAAGCUACACCCUAGCUUUGAUGAAAUGUUUUCAAAAAACAAUUAACACUUCCCUAAAACCUAACUCAUGAUGAACAAAAUGUAGAAACUUAAAAUAAAAGGCCUAUCUGGCAGGUAACACAGAGGGAUGGGGAUACAGAUGCCCUGGGGAGGCUGAACCCAGUGGGUCAAUAAAUGCCAUUUAGCAAACAAAAGAUUGUUCAUCUUUAGCAAACCCUCACUGGGAAGAGGAGAAAAGCUGUGAGUACGUAUACCUUCCUUUUUAUUGUCCAGAACUAGACACUCUUGUCCCUAGCUUGCACAACCCACAUGGCAGAAUUUCUGAAAUGAACCAGAGCCACUAACAAGUAGUCAUGGGUC
rnacentral:lncRNA from 1 species